CAGUGUCUGGUGGGUAGUUUGACUGGGGCGGUCUCCUCCUAAAGAGUAACGGAGGAGCACGAAGGUUGGCUAAUCCUGGUCGGACAUCAGGAGGUUAGUGCAAUGGCAUAAGCCAGCUUGACUGCGAGCGUGACGGCGCGAGCAGGUGCGAAAGCAGGUCAUAGUGAUCCGGUGGUUCUGAAUGGAAGGGCCAUCGCUCAACGGAUAAAAGGUACUCCGGGGAUAACAGGCUGAUACCGCCCAAGAGUUCAUAUCGACGGCGGUGUUUGGCACCUCGAUGUCGGCUCAUCACAUCCUGGGGCUGAAGUAGGUCCCAAGGGUAUGGCUGUUCGCCAUUUAAAGUGGUACGCGAGCUGGGUUUAGAACGUCGUGAGACAGUUCGGUCCCUAUCUGCCGUGGGCGCUGGAAGACUGAGGGGGGCUGCUCCUAGUACGAGAGGACCGGAGUGGACGCAUCACUGGUGUUCGGGUUGUCAUGCCAAUGGCACUGCCCGGUAGCUAAAUGCGGAAAAGAUAAGUGCUGAAAGCAUCUAAGCACGAAACUUGCCCCGAGAUGAGUCUUCCCUGAGACUUUGAGUCUCCUGAAGGAACGUUAAAGACGAUGACGUUGAUAGGCCGGGUGUGUAAGCGCAGCGAUGCGUUGAGCUAACCGGUACUAAUGAACCGUGAGG
rnacentral:rRNA from 1 species